AGAGUUUGAUCAUGGCUCAGAUUGAACGCUGGCGGCAGGCCUAACACAUGCAAGUCGAGCGGAUGACGGGAGCUUGCUCCUUGAUUCAGCGGCGGACGGGUGAGUAAUGCCUAGGAAUCUGCCUGGUAGUGGGGGACAACGUUUCGAAAGGAACGCUAAUACCGCAUACGUCCUACGGGAGAAAGCAGGGGACCUUCGGGCCUUGCGCUAUCAGAUGAGCCUAGGUCGGAUUAGCUAGUUGGUGAGGUAAUGGCUCACCAAGGCGACGAUCCGUAACUGGUCUGAGAGGAUGAUCAGUCACACUGGAGCUGAGACACGGUCCAGACUCCUACGGGAGGCAGCAGUGGGGGAUAUUGGACAAUGGGCGAAAGCCUGAUCCAGCCAUGGCCGCGUGUGUGAAGAAGGUCUUCGGAUUGUAAAGCACUUUAAGUUGGGAGGAAGGGCAGUAAGUUAAUACCUUGCUGUUUUGACGUUACCGACAGAAUAAGCACCGGCUAACUCUGUGCCAGCAGCCGCGGUAAUACAGAGGGUGCAAGCGUUAAUCGGAAUUACUGGGCGUAAAGCGCGCGUAGGUGGUUCGUUAAGUUGGAUGUGAAAGCCCCGGGCUCAACCUGGGAACUGCAUCCAAAACUGGCGAGCUAGAGUACGGUAGAGGGUGGUGGAAUUUCCUGUGUAGCGGUGAAAUGCGUAGAUAUAGGAAGGAACACCAGUGGCGAAGGCGACCACCUGGACUGAUACUGACACUGAGGUGCGAAAGC
rnacentral:rRNA from 1 species